UAAUAUACAACUAGAGGCUCUUAAAAGCCUGUGUCGCUCACCUUGGUCUAUAUGCAUAUCAAACAAAGAAAACAGAUCGUCAGAUGGAGUCAUGAAAACAUUGUGUUUUGAUGAUGGUGAUGUGUUUGGAGAUCUUGCUUUACUGAACAUUCUUGCUACUUACAAUUUUGUCUAUCUAUAAGGAACUUAGUCAUUUAGUUUCAGAGGAAAAUAUUUUGUAAAAACUAACGAAAUUGUUAAAAAUUGGCUAUAAAGGGCAAUAACUCCUGAAGAGGUCAACUGACCAUUUUGGUCAUGUUGACUUAAUUG
rnacentral:lncRNA from 1 species